AUUUGUACCGAUUCAUUGAUA
rnacentral:miRNA from 1 species